rnacentral:lncRNA from 13 species
AAAAAGCUAAAUAAUUUAAUAUAAAAUGUACUAAGCUUGAGGUAUUGAACUAACUAGCUUUGGACACUCCGGCUUGAUUUGGAGAGUCUACGUCUUUGAGUUAACAAAUAUUUUUAGGGAGUCACAGUUGAUCAGCCAAGUUUUAAAUACUGUCAUCAAUGGUCUCCUAGUCUAAAUCUACUCGCUGAGUCAGUUGACCUCUUCUAUUCUGGAUUGUAAAAAUGUUCAAAAAUAAUAAUAAAUCAGACCAGUGUUUGUGAAACAGGAAGCAAGACCGGUCAGGAAGUGAACAGGAUAAGAGUGCACUCGAAAGGAAGUGGGGAGGGAUAGCUUAGAUUGAGUCCCGAAUGGCUCCUUAAACUAGCCCAUUGAGUUCCGUUCUAAAAUAGUGCACUAUACGGAAUAGGGUACUAUUUGUGACACGGACAAGAGAUUACAGGCACAAGUGGGAAACGAUUGUUGGAAAAUGACCAGGAACAAUAAAACCCAGAUCCAAUAACAUUAGCGGACACUCAAAAGUUAAGACACAAUGGAUAUGUGGACAAAUAGCAAAAUAGUCUGUUUUAUUUGCAACGUAUUCAAGUUAUAAACACGUCAGGCAGUGGUUCUUACACAUCACCAUUCAGGACAUAUGAAUCGAUCUUCCUGACAAUCAAUCACCCCAGAACUAAGUACAUGAAUAAAAAGCACCCUUCACGUAUCACCCAGUUACACCCAAUCACGUAAAUCAAGAAAACAUGUAAAACAAUCAUGAUCAUCGUUGUUUUGUUUUCCUCUUUCAACAAACACAACUGCAGCAGACCACCGUUUGAAUGUCAUGGAAUUACAACCGACCAUUCAUUUUGAAAAAGGGGCUAAAGUAUAUGGACGUCCCAAAUGGCACAACAUAAUGUCACAUACAGGUGUUAAAUUGGCUCGCUGCAAGGCAAUGUAUGAACCUCUGAUCAUCUCUUUAUAAAACCAUUUACAAGAGAUAAAUAAAUCAUUCCCAAAAUAGUAUUUCCCCCCUCCAAAAAAAAAUCAUGGUACUUUUUUUUUCCAUUUUAAAGAAUAAAUCAGAUUAUAUAUUUAUGAUAAAAGUUUAAUACCAGUCUAACUAAUAUUUCGACCUCAUUCAUUCACUUUGAGUGAGUGGAAUACUGCAAGUUCUUUUUAAAGUAGACAUCUGAGAAUA